rnacentral:rRNA from 1 species
CCUACGGGGGGCAGCAGUGAGGAAUAUUGGUCAAUGGUCGGGAGACUGAACCAGCCAAGCCGCGUGAGGGAGGAAGGUACAGAGUAUCGUAAACCUCUUUUGUCAGGGAACAAAGGCGGGGACGUGUCCCCGGAUGAGUGUACCUGAAGAAAAAGCAUCGGCUAACUCCGUGCCAGCAGCCGCGGUAAUACGGAGGAUGCGAGCGUUAUCCGGAUUUAUUGGGUUUAAAGGGUGCGCAGGCGGGUCGUUAAGUCAGCGGUGAAAGCCCGGGGCUCAACCCCGGACCCCCGUUGGAACUGGGCAGUAGAGAGUAGGGGAGAGGUAGGGGGAAUGCGGGGGGGAGCGGGGAAAUGCAUAGAGA